rnacentral:rRNA from 1 species
CCUACGGGGUGCAGCAGUGAGGAAUAUUGGUCAAUGGGCGCGAGCCUGAACCAGCCAAGCAGCGUGAAGGAUGACUGCCCUACGGGUUGUAACCUCCUUUUAUAAGGGAAUAAAGUGAGUCACGUGUGCCUUUUUGUAUGUACUUUAUGAAUAAGGAUCGGCUAACUCCGUGCCAGCAGCCGCGGUAAUACGGAGGAUCCGAGCGUUAUCCGGAUUUAUUGGGUUUAAAGGGAGCGUAGAUGGGUUGUUAAGUCAGUUGUGAAAGUUUGGGGCUCAACCGUAAAAUUGCAAUUGAUACUGGCAGUCUUGAGUACAGUUGAGGUAGGCGGAAUUCGUGGUGUAGCGGUGAAAUGCUUAGAUAUCACGAAGAACUCCGAUGGCGAAGGCAGCUUACUAAACUGCCACUGACAUUGAUGCGCGAAAGUGUGGGUAUCAAACAGGAUUAGAUACCCUAGUAGUC